CCUACGGGGGGCAGCAGUGGGGAAUAUUGGACAAUGGGGGGAACCCUGAUCCCGCGACGCCGCGUGAGUGAAGAAGUAUUUCGGUAUGUAAAGCUCUAUCAGCAGGGAAGAAAGAAAUGACGGUACCUGACUAAGAAGCCCCGGCUAACUACGUGCCAGCAGCCGCGGUAAUACGUAGGGGGCAAGCGUUAUCCGGAUUUACUGGGUGGAAAGGGAGCGUAGACGGCGAUGCAAGUCUGAAGUGAAAGGCGGGGGCGCAACCUCCGGACUGCUUUGGAAACUGUAUGGCUGGAGUGCAGGAGAGGUAAGUGGAAUUCCUAGUGUAGCGGUGAAAUGCGUAGAUAUUAGGAGGAACACCAGUGGCGAAGGCGGCUUACUGGACUGUAACUGACGUUGAGGCUCGAAAGCGUGGGGAGCAAACAGGAUUAGAUACCUUUGUAGUC
rnacentral:rRNA from 1 species